rnacentral:lncRNA from 1 species
UCUCCAGGCUGCCAAAUUUGAUGCAUAUCAAAAAAUGCUUCAUAAAGACAAAACAGUGGAAUGUUUUUAACCUCAACAAAAUAAUUUUUAAAACUCAGAUGGACUCUGUUAUAGAAGCUAGUUACGUGAUAGCAAAUCUAACUGCAGAAAAAAUCAAAACCAUUUCCUGAUGGUGACUUUGUUAAGCAAUGUAUGGAAAACACAACAGGCAUAAUGUGUCUUGAUUAAAAAACAACAACAACAAAAAAGAGUGACAGGUGCCUGCAUCAGAUGUCCUGUAUCAGAGGCUCUUCCAGAAGAAGAAUAAGGCAGCAGAAUCUUAUGCUCACACUGCACUACAAAUGCUCCAGAAGCAGAAACAAACUGGGAAGCUCUGGGAUCCUCCCAGGAAGGCAAAACUGCACAGAGAUGCACCAACUGUGUUUGGUAGUGCCCUUCCACCCUCAGAUUUCCUGCUCCCCUGCUCCUCGUCCAAUCCCACUGCUGAGCCAGGAACGAGCUGCCCAGUGCUGCAGAGCACCGUGCAAAGCCAUGCUGGGACCUCCUCCCCUUCCUCUCCUGCAGCUCAGUGUGCAACCUCACCCCCUUCUCUGGCAGAGCUGCUGAUCCCACGCGUGCCAUCGGGAUGCUCCUCUAACCCAAAGCUCCUUCCCACCCUGCCAAGAAAAAGCAAACCAACCCCACCGCCGCCAGCACAGCCCCACAGCAGGGAAUGCACACAGCUUCAUGCCAUUCCCCUUCCCUCUGUCCUAACUAACAGACCAAGGGAGCACUAAUUUGGAAAUUGGUACAAAACACAGCAGCAUCACAUUAAAAUGCAAUUUGUGUUUUCAUUGUCAGGGGUAUUACAGCCCAAAGGUUGUAAUAAGGUUCAUAUAAAGGGGGAUAAAAUGCAGAUGUUCCGUACACAAAGGCAAAGAGGAAAGGUUGUGAGGGGGUUUCCCCAAUGAGAAGUACAGUUUCAGAAAUGUACAGAGAACCCAGAGUGACAUCAAGGCAAAUGUAACAAUGACCGCUACAAAACCAAUGGUAUACAGAGAGAAUUCACUGCCAGGAGUAUUUGACAGUCCGGUGAUAAAGAUUCACAGCAUUGGCUGCAAGGCCAUGUUUUAAUUAAAAACAAUAAU